AGCAUAAAUUUUAAUAAAAAUUGCAGUAUCCCUUGAAUAUUAACAAUCCCACCUCAAUACAAGGCAUUCAAGGCUCCUGUUAAAAGAAACUUCGAAAAUUUCCAAAUCAAUCAAGUUCCAUAGAGAUUUUAUCGUCUAACAAUUUCAUCAACAUCAACAGACUUCACAUUAUUCAUUAAAACAAGUAAUAUCCUGUUUGUUUCAACUUGUUUGAAUUACAUGUUUCAUUUUCAGCCGUAGAAAAGUUAUAUUAUUACUUAAAACUGAGUCCAGUAGAAGUCUUUUAUCUCUAUGGAGAUGCUCUUCCAACAGCAUCACUAUACAUUCAGCUUUUCAUUGAAGAUUGGACGUGAUCUUCUCAGAACAAAUGUCAGAAGGAUGCAACCUGUUAACAAAUAAAGACAAACAGAUAAUGGCAUUGGCUAGUGAUAGUUAAACAACAUAGCAACUUGCCACAUAAAAAAAAUAUAUAUAUGUAAAAAUAUAAAUAGACAAUAAUACUUCACUUGUUAUACUUCACUUGUUAUUCAGUAGCUUUAUACAAAUAUAUUAACAAUUCAAUCUAUCCAUGCUGACAAAUGGAGGAUGCAAUUCCAAACCAUCCAGCAAGACAAUUGAGUACCCUCUCAAUCUAUAUGUGAGUAGGGUAUUGAAUGAGUAUAUAAGGUUAUUUACAUAUGCAAAACAAAACAAGGAAUUUAUUGGAUCUACUGAAAAUUUGGCAAAUCUCCCCUAAAAAAGACCUUAUGAAAUUUUUACAUACACAACCUGCAUUAAUAAUAUUUUCCACUUCAUGUCCUAAUAUUUGAAAUUAUAUCGUAGCACCUAUUGGUUAAUAUGACAUAAAUAUAGUCAUAACAAGAAAGAUUAAUCAUGACAGUAAGUAUGGUUAGUAUUUAUUUACAAGUGGGAUAAUUAUGUGAGAUCUACUCUUCAAUUGUUGCGGUUGAACCACAGUAGAAUCCAUUACUAUUUAUAUCAUAAUAUUACUUGGUUAUUCUUAACUUUUUAGAAGCGUUGUACUUCAUGAAAUAUAGUAAUUUUGAGCAGCCAUUAAUAUCUUACAAAUGCAGUUCUCCGCAAUAUUCUAUAUAUGUAACUAGUAAUUUCAAUCAUGCAAUGAAAAGCAGCAUUUGAUUUCCAUCAUUUAUGAUUGCCAAAGAGGUUAAGAAAGAUAGCAGGUAUUUUAAACCCAACUAAUUGCUGAUGCAAUGGUUUGGCAAUCCCAAAUGCCUUUUGCUCUUUAUCAUUGUAAUCCACAUUGUGCAUUUAGGUUUUCAGUGCACAAAUUUAGCAUUCCACGACCUUAUUAUUUGAUACCCAUCAUAAAAUAAUCAGCUUCGCGAAGGAAUUGAAAAGGGAAUCAAUAAAAUCAAUGUUCUUAGUACAACAGACUAUUCCCCCAAGUAUUUUUUAAAAUCACAAAAUAAAUUACACUCAAAUAAACAAGAGGAAAUUAUACCGCAGAUGCCUCAAUUAGUUUUGUUUUCUGGGAUGGAGGGGCUAAAAACUUUUUGAUCAAUGUUUCAGCAACCUGUUGUGGAGGUCCAAAGUCUCGAAUAUCUUUUUUGUUGGUUGGGAUCAUAUUUACACUGACACUUUCUAAUGGCUCAAUGACAUCUUUAAAGACCUUGUCUUGACCUUCAAUGACCACUUCCUGCCACCCAAAUGGAUAGAGGAAGGAGUAUCCAUCGUUCUUGCCUGUUACUAACAGAAAUCCCUUUUCAGUUUCUGCAGCAAAUGAUGAAGAAGUUUGGUUAACCAGAGAAACCCAAGGGGCAAUUAUACUGACAGCUAUCAGUUGGCGUCUCCCGGAUCUAACUUGAGAAUGAGCCCAUCAUUGCUCAGCACGAACAAUAAACGAAAUGCCUCUUCUACAGCAACGAAACGAACUAUGAUACCUUUGUAGUCCUAUCUAUAUAUAAGCACAGCAAACGAAAUUAAACCCAUGUAAGCAUAAAGAGCAUAUAUAUAGAGUAAACUUUGAGAUGCAAGUCUUUAUAGAGAGGGAGGACCCUGGGAACAAAGUUGGGAGAAAAUGUGUUAUAAAGUGAAGGUGAAUUCUGUAAGGAAGCCAUUGUUAAGUGAAGAGGGUAGAAGUUGUAGUGACAAGAACAGGCUAUUCUCAAGAUUUUUGUGGUGGAGAGCAUAUUUUCGCUGUCGCGCUUUGCUUAUC
rnacentral:misc_RNA from 1 species